AUUGAACGCUGGCGGAAUGCUUUACACAUGCAAGUCGAACGGCAGCACGGACUUCGGUCUGGUGGCGAGUGGCGAACGGGUGAGUAAUACAUCGGAACGUGCCCAGUCGUGGGGGAUAACGUAGCGAAAGCUACGCUAAUACCGCAUACGAUCUAAGGAUGAAAGCGGGGGAUCGCAAGACCUCGCGCGAUUGGAGCGGCCGAUGGCAGAUUAGGUAGUUGGUGGGGUAAAGGCUCACCAAGCCGACGAUCUGUAGCUGGUCUGAGAGGACGACCAGCCACACUGGGACUGAGACACGGCCCAGACUCCUACGGGAGGCAGCAGUGGGGAAUUUUGGACAAUGGGCGCAGGCCUGAUCCAGCCAUUCCGCGUGCAGGAUGAAGGCCCUCGGGUUGUAAACUGCUUUUGUACGGAACGAAAAGGCUCUGGUUAAUACCCGGGGCUCAUGACGGUACCGUAAGAAUAAGCACCGGCUAACUACGUGCCAGCCGCCGCGGUAA
rnacentral:rRNA from 1 species